rnacentral:lncRNA from 1 species
AAAAACACCUAGAAUACACAAAUCUUGGAAAAGUGUUCAUGGUUUUGUUCUUGGUGUUCAUAGUUUGGUUUUGGGUGAAAAUGGUUUUAUUUGGUUUUCAUGCAUGGUCUUAUGGUUUUGGAUGAUGUUCUUACCAUCCAUAACCAUAUUAAAACUUAUUAAAACCCUAGACUUGUCUAGGAGAUUUCCAUCAAUUUUUCAUUAAAGCCAUUUAAUGCCAAAACCAAGUGACAAGCAAAAUUGUGAUUUUUUCUACUUUGCAUUAAAUUGUUGCAUGUGGGUGAGACUUCCCACCCUCCCAUUGAAUGGCCGGCCUCCCUAGUGGAUUUAUCCACUUGUGGGGCUAUUUUGUAAUCUUUGAAAAGUUGAUAUUUAUUUUGAAAUAUUUACGGUUUUACCCCUAACUUUUCAUAUUUACAUUUAGGCCCCUACUAACUAGAAAGUUAAAAUAUUUGAUUUUAAUUUUGUUAGUUGUUUAAACUCAUAAUACUAUUAUGCCCAUAUGCACUAAAUCUAAAUGUUUAUGUUGCAUUCCAUCAUGAUUAUUUACAUGUGUUUAAGUAGUUAUGAAAUGGAUGACUUUGGACUUAUG